GACGAACGCUGGCGGCGUGCCUAAUACAUGCAAGUCGAACGCAGAGGGUAAGGGUGAGUGACACGUGGGUAACCUCCCAUCAGAGGGGAUAACACUUGGAAACAGGUGCUAAACCGAUACUGUUGGAUGAACCCGGGGGGCAUUAGCUAGUUGGGGAUGGAACGGCUCACCAAGGCCACGAUGCAUAGCCGACGUGAGAGGGUGAUCGGCCACACUGGGACUUAGACACGGCCCAGACUCCUACGGGAGGCAGCAGUAGGGAAUCUUCGACAAUGGACGAAAGUCUGAUCGAGCAAUGCCGCGUGAGUGAAGAAGGUUUUCGGCUCGUAAAACACGGUCGGCAGAGAAGCGGUAUCAAACGAGUAAGCCCCGGCUAACUACGUGCCAGCAGCCGCGGUAAUAC
rnacentral:rRNA from 1 species